rnacentral:rRNA from 1 species
UACAGAGGUCUCAAGCGUUGUUCGGAUUCAUUGGGCGUAAAGGGUGCGUAGGCGGCGCAGUAAGUCGGGUGUGAAAUCUUGGAGCUUAACUCCGAAACUGCAUUCGAUACUGCCGUGCUUGAGGACUGGAGAGGAGACUGGAAUUUACGGUGUAGCGGUGAAAUGCGUAGAUAUCGUAAGGAAGACCAGUGGCGAAGGCGGGUCUCUGGACAGUUCCUGACGCUGAGGCACGAAGGCCAGGGGAGCAAACGGG